rnacentral:lncRNA from 1 species
CAUCUUACAUUCUGGCUUUGCGCCGGGAGACUGCACUGCUCAUGCCAGAGACCCGCUGAAAGGUCACCCCAGAAUGGCUGUGUUGGGAGGGGCUUGCUUAGCAGUGUGGGUCCUGAACUGUGAUCUUUAACUCUCCACUUUGGGGGGUAAAAGCAAGAGUAAAGAAUUCCAAAGGAGCCCCAAAUUCAGAUUUUUGGAAUGAUAAUAUAACCAGAAGUUUUUUUUUUCCUCUCUCUGAAUUACUGUAAACAGCAAGUAAGCCUCUGCCAGCCCCACCAAAUUGGAAUUUGCCAGGAGAUAUUCUUCUAUAGAGUGAUCUGGAUGUAUUCUUUCCUGCCUAGGGAGACACAGCCCAUGCAGUUCUUUUAAAUAAGCAGUGAGAAGCCCCUGUGUCUUCCUGGAGGUUUGUAAGCAGAUGUUGCUGAGCCUGCAUCAGACUGGGUUUCUACAUCAUUUAAUCACUUGUCUUGACAUAUCACUUCCGGACACUGCUUGAACCUGUGCAGAAUGAGUUGAGGAGUUUUUUCUGCUACAAAUCCAAGUCCUUGGAUGCCACAUACCAGCAUGUGAUGAAGACCAGGGGUCCUCUAAGAAGACCAUGAGCUGGGAUUGCCCAAUCUUAAAGUUUUGUCCUCCAAAACUCUCCGGAGCCGGGGAGGGACAGAGUGAGCAUCGCAGUGGAACAGAGCCUGGAGGCUUGACUGGAGGGGACUGGAGUCAAUCUCUGGCCUCUGUCCCCAAGACUCAUUACAGCAUCUGUUCCUCUGGGACCUGGGUAAAAACCACAAAAUAAAUGUCAGUGACUUCAACAUUUCUCUCAGAAUCUGUGCAGGCUAUGGUGAUAUCUAGAUUCAACGUACUGCCCUAGAUGUACAAGGAAGAACCCUUUAUAUACUGUCUAGUUUUUGGGGAAAGAAAACAGCUGCUAACCAGGCUUGGGGCGUUACAGAUGAGGGUCUUUGGAACACUGAUCUUUGCUCCAGAGCUGUUGCUGAAUCUUUGCUCCAGAGCUGUUGCCGAGAGUAAGAUGGGAUGAAACCUUCUAUUCCAGUAGGAGACACCAAGUCACAGGCUACACUGUUAUAAAAAUAAGCCUUUUCCUCCAGAAUAUAUUGUAGACAAUUGACACAGAUUAAUGAGGCUGAGAUUUUUUUAAUCUAAUACCAUUUUUUAAAGUAGCUUAAAAGUUUUCAUCUAACUCAACCUCACACAUAUUCUGUUACCCACUAAUUUGGUGGCUUAGUGGCUGGAAACAGUAUUUGCUAAAUGAGAGUUUGCCUGCUCUGGUUCAGAAAAAACAGUUACAAUUUAGCAAGCUCUUCUACAAAAGUGAAUUUAUUCUAGUUUCAGUGAUAAAUUAUCUUCGAUUUUAUGAACUGAUGCUGAUGCUGGGCAAUUUUUAAUUUAUUAGAAAAUUUCAAAAUUAUAUUUAUGUGUGUAUGUGUGGGAAG